AACGAACGCUGGCGGCAGGCUUAACACAUGCAAGUCGAACGAGUGGCAGACGGGUGAGUAACGCGUGGGAACAUACCCUUUCCUGCGGAAUAGCUCCGGGAAACUGGAAUUAAUACCGCAUGGGAAGGAUUGGCCCGCGUUGGAUUAGCUAGUUGGUGGGGUAAAGGCCUACCAAGGCGACGAUCCCUAGCUGGUCUGAGAGGAUGACCAGCCACACUGGAACUGAGACACGGUCCAGACUCCUACGGGAGGCAGCAGUGGGGAAUAUUGCACAAUGGGCGCAAGCCUGAUGCAGCCAUGCCGCGUGUAUGAAGAAGGCCUUCGGGUUGUAAAGUACUUUCAGCGGGGAGGCGUUACCCGCAGAAGAAGCACCGGCUAACUCCGUGCCAGCAGCCGCGGUAAUAC
rnacentral:rRNA from 1 species